UACGUAGGGUGCAAGCGUUAAUCGGAAUUACUGGGCGUAAAGCGUGCGCAGGCGGUUGUGUAAGACAGUUGUGAAAUCCCCGGGCUUAACCUGGGAACUGCAUUGGUGACUGCAUUGCUGGAGUAUGGCAGAGGGGGGUGGAAUUCCACGUGUAGCAGUGAAAUGCGUAGAGAUGUGGAGGAACACCGAUGGCGAAGGCAGCCCCCUGGGCCAAUACUGACGCUCAUGCACGAAAGCGUGGGGAGCAAACAGG
rnacentral:rRNA from 1 species